rnacentral:rRNA from 1 species
UACAGAGGUGGCAAGCGUUGUUCGGAAUUACUGGGCGUAAAGGGCGCGUAGGCGGUUCGUUAAGUCCUGUGUGAAAUCCCCCGGCUCAACUGGGGAACUGCACAGGAAACUAGCGGGCUUGAGUUCGGGAGAGGGAAGCGGAAUUCCGGGUGUAGCGGUGAAAUGGCGUAGAUAUCCGGAGGAACACCGGUGGCGAAGGCGGCUCCUGGACCGA